rnacentral:tRNA from 1 species
GCCCUCAUAGUUCAACGGAUAGAACACGAGUUUUCUAAACUUGAAAUGGAGGUUCGAUUCCUCCUGAGGGCA